CCUACGGGGGGCUGCAGUAAGGAAUAUUCCGCAAUGGGCGCAAGCCUGACGGAGCAAUGCCGCGUGCAGGAUGAAGCCCCUCGGGGUGUAAACUGCUGUCAGAGAUAAGCAACACAUGAGCUAUCUCAGAGGAAGAGGCGACUAACUCUGUGCCAGCAGUCGCGGUAAUACAGAGGCCUCGAGCGUUAAUCGGAAUCACUGGGCUUAAAGGGUGCGUAGGCUGACUUGUAAGUGCUUUGUGAAAUCCCAUCGCUCAACGGUGGAAUUGCUCGGCAUACUGCAAGUCUUGAGGUCGGUAGGGGCUGCCGGAACUGUAGGUGGAGCGGUGAAAUGCGUAGAUAUCUACAGGAACGCCAAAGGUGAAGACAGGCAGCUGGGCCGAUUCUGACGCUGAGGCACGAAAGCGUGGGGAGCAAACGGGCUUAGAUACCCGUGUAGUC
rnacentral:rRNA from 1 species